rnacentral:rRNA from 1 species
CAAAGAACUUUGAAGAGAGAGUUCAAGAGGGCGUGAAACCGCUUAGAAGCAAACAGAUGGACCUGAUGAAGAGUCAGUGGUAUUCAACCCACUGUGUCACCUCAACCCAUUGCCAGAUUGACCAACUGGUUUUUGGGACCUGGUGUGGCCAGUAGGUGCAUUUGUCACUGAUGAACAUCAGAACCUGUGCUUGUGCUGGAAGUAGGUGUCGAUUGCCGGCCGACUCGUUGGUGUCCCAUCGAUUCUGAAACCGGGUUACUUGCACAGGAGCUGUAGUGGCACCCGCCUCUACUCAACAUUGUGGAAAGCCUUGCCAAUUGAACUGUAGUUUUAUGCUCGCAUGACUCCGCGAUGCCUGGUUUGGUGAUCUGCAGUGAUUGAGUUGGUGCUGUUUUCUGAUGUUUUAGUCAGUCACCCAUCUGACCCGUCUUGAAACACGGACCAAGGAGUCUAACAUGUGCGCAAGUCACUGGGUUGCAAAACCUAAGGGCACAAUGAGAGUGAAGUCUGGCUUUUGUCGGCUGACAUGGGAUCCCUCACCUCAGGUGGAGGAGCACCAUGGUCCCGUUCAUGCUGCAUUGUCAGCAGGGCGGAGAUAGAGCGUACACGUUGGGACCCGAAAGAUGGUGAACUAUGCCUGAGCAGGAUGAAGCCAGAGGAAACUCUGGUGGAAGUCCAUAGCGAUUCUGACGUGCAAAUCGAUCGUCGGACUUGGGUAUAGGGGCGAAAGACUAAUCGAACCAUC